UGGGGAAUUGUUCGCAAUGGGCGCAAGCCUGACGACGCAACGCCGCGUGGAGGAUGAAGGUCUUCGGAUUGUAAACUCCUGUUGAUCGGGAAGAAUGGCCUCCGGAUGAAUACUCCGGAGGAAUGACGGUACCGAUUGAUGAAGCCACGGCUAACUCUGUGCCAGCAGCCGCGGUAAUACAGAGGGGGCAAGCGUUGUUCGGAAUUAUUGGGCGUAAAGGGCGCGUAGGCGGCCAUCCAAGUCGGGUGUGAAAUCCCUCGGCUCAACCGAGGAACUGCACUCGAUACUGGUUGGCUCGAGUCCGGGAGGGGAUGGUGGAAUUCCCAGUGUAGCGGUGAAAUGCGUAGAUAUUGGGAAGAACACCGGUGGCGAAGGCGACCAUCUGGACCGGAACUGACGCUGAGGCGCGAAAGCCAGGGGAGCGAA
rnacentral:rRNA from 1 species